rnacentral:rRNA from 1 species
AAGUGUUCUAGGGUAUCCGCCCUUUACUGCUGCAGCAAACACAUUAAGCACUCCGCCUGGGGAGUACGGCCGCAAGGCUGAAACUCAAAGGAAUUGACGGGGACCCGCACAAGGGUGGGAGCAUGUGGUUUAAUUCGAAUCCCGUAAAAGAACCUUACCAGGUCUUGACAUCCCCUGACAACCCUAGCAGAUAGGGCGUUCCCCUU